rnacentral:lncRNA from 1 species
UUAAACUAAAUUAUAACUUAAAUUGAGUUCAACAGACAAUAGACAUGCAAUUUUAACUUAAACUAAUUUUUUUUCUUUGGGAUGGUUAUCUUUGUUUGUGUAGUUCUUCUUGUUAUUGGCUCAACUGCACUCUUGUAUGUGCCCAAUCUAGUUGUAGGUUUUGGUGGUACAAAUGGUGUUGAUGACCUCCUAACAGGGAGCUUCUUUGCCCUUCCAUGAGUUUAUUGCUGAGAUGUUUGAGUAGCUUGUUG